AGAGCUUCGGCUUGCAGGGCCUGCGUCCCGCUGCGGACCGGUGAUGAGACUGAGGCUGAAGAGGCUCAAGCCUUGGACACUACUUGGCUUCAAGUGUACAGGCUAGACUCAGCAGAACCAACCAUUGGACUCGGUGGUGCUGUCUGUCUGUUGCCCCAAAGAGCAGAGUCAAUUGGCAGUGAGUUAUCUGGGGACUGUCUCAAAAGAGGACAUGCUCUUCACUGCUUGGUCAUCAUCAUACAGGAAAGUCAAGACAAGCGCUAAAGUGUUUUCAAAUUCACUUGUAAGUUCUCAAGUUGAUGAGUCAUCUCUAGGAUAUUCUCAACAUGAUUAAUGAUUUGAAGACUGUUG